rnacentral:piRNA from 1 species
UGCUGAGCUGCCUGCAGGCUGUGCCGU